AUUGAACGCUGGCGGCAGGCUUAACACAUGCAAGUCGAACGAGUGGCGGACGGGUGAGUAAUGCUUGGGAAACUGCCUUAUGGAGGGGGAUAACGACUGGAAACUGUAGCUAAUACCGCAUACCAUCGGAUGUGCCCAGAUGGGAUUAGCUAGUUGGUGGGGUAAUGGCUCACCAAGGCGACGAUCCCUAGCUGGUCUGAGAGGAUGACCAGCCACACGGGAACUGAGACACGGUCCAGACUCCUACGGGAGGCAGCAGUGGGGAAUAUUGCGCAAUGGGCGCAAGCCUGACGCAGCCAUGCCGCGUGUAUGAAGAAGGCCUUCGGGUUGUAAAGUACUUUCAGCGAGGAGGCGUUACUCGCAGAAGAAGCACCGGCUAACUCCGUGCCAGCAGCCGCGGUAAUUC
rnacentral:rRNA from 1 species